UUCAAACACUUGAACGUGUAUUUGGACACUGUCGAAAAACAGCUCAUGGGAUUUUGGAGAAAUCAAAUAAAUUUCUUGAUAUUCAUCAAAGAAUAUGUUGCUUUUUACGUGUUUGAGUGUCAACAACAUUGGGCAUCAUUGAAAAUGGCGAGUUCUUUCGGUGUGGAGCUUCGCCCACCUCCUCCGAUCUGUCGACUUUGGUGGGCGAUUAGCGUGAAAUACAUUUCGCAGAAGUCAAGUGGAUAACGCUUGUGUUUGGCGUUUGCUUUCGAGGAGUGAAAUGUCGACGCAAAAGGCCCGGAGACGGCAGCGAUCAGUCUACGCUUCGCUCGACGCCCGUUUCAUAAACAUGGUGUUACUCGCAGCCGGAAUCCCGAAAGCCACAAGAAACUCGAACCCGGACACGAAUUUCACGCCAACGACAGUCGAAUAGGCAACAUAACGUAUUGGCACAAGUGAGGAGCUGAAUGAGUCACCACAAUACACCAAGUAGCUGUUCUUCUAGCGACAACUGCAGCACGGCAGCAAUCAACACUGAAAAGCGAAACAAGCUCCAGUGAAAACACAAAGUGCCGAUCAAGAGCCUCGGUCAGAGUGUCAGUAAGGAGUGCUCGCAUCAUUGUCUCCUGUGUAUUUCUCCCAUUUCGUGAUAAGCUACCAGUGCUUGUUUG